AUUGAACGCUGGCGGCAUGCCUUACACAUGCAAGUCGAACGGCAGCACGGGAGCAAUCCUGGUGGCGAGUGGCGAACGGGUGAGUAAUAUAUCGGAACGUGCCCAGUCGUGGGGAUAACGUAGCGAAAGCUACGCUAAUACCGCAUACGAUCUAUGGAUGAAAGCGGGGGAUCGCAAGACCUCGCGCGAUUGGAGCGGCCGAUAUCAGAUUAGGUAGUUGGUGAGGUAAAGGCUCACCAAGCCGACGAUCUGUAGCUGGUCUGAGAGGACGACCAGCCACACUGGACUGAGACACGGCCCAGACUCCUACGGGAGGCAGCAGUGGGGAAUUUUGGACAAUGGGC
rnacentral:rRNA from 1 species